rnacentral:rRNA from 1 species
GAUUAAGUUAUUAAGGGCGCACGGUGGAUGCCUUGGCACUAGAAGCCGAAGAAGGACGUUACUAACGACGAUAUGCUUUGGGGAGCUGUAAGUAAGCGUUGAUCCAGAGAUUUCCGAAUGGGGAAACCCAACAUGAGUUAUGUCAUGUUAUCGAUAUGUGAAUACAUAGCAUAUCAGAAGGCAGACCCGGAGAACUGAAACAUCUUAGUACCCGGAGGAAGAGAAAGAAAAAUCGAUUCCCUGAGUAGCGGCGAGCGAAACGGGAAGAGCCCAAACCAACAAGCUUGCUUGUUGGGGUUGUAGGACACUCUAUACGGAGUUACAAAAGUAUAUAUUAGACGAAUCAUCUGGAAAGUUGAAUCAAAGAAGGUAAUAAUCCUGUAGUCGAAAAUAUAUACUCUCUUGAGUGGAUCCUGAGUACGACGGAGCACGUGAAAUUCCGUCGGAAUCUGGGAGGACCAUCUCCUAAGGCUAAAUACUCUCUAGUGACCGAUAGUGAACCAGUACCGUGAGGGAAAGGUGAAAAGUACCCCGGAAGGGGAGUGAAAGAGAACUUGAAACCGUGUGCUUACAAGUAGUCAGAGCCCGUUAAUGGGUGAUGGCGUGCCUUUUGUAGAAUGAACCGGCGAGUUACGAUUUGAUGCAAGGUUAAGCAGUGAAUGUGGAGCCGUAGCGAAAGCGAGUCUGAAUAGGGCGUUGAGUAUUUGGUCGUAGACCCGAAACCAGGUGAUCUACCCUUGGUCAGGUUGAAGUUCAGGUAACACUGAAUGGAGGACCGAACCGACUUACGUUGAAAAGUGAGCGGAUGAACUGAGGGUAGCGGAGAAAUUCCAAUCGAACCUGGAGAUAGCUGGUUCUCUCCGAAAUAGCUUUAGGGCUAGCCUCAAGUGAUGAUUAUUGGAGGUAGAGCACUGUUUGGACGAGGGGCCCUUCUCGGGUUACCGAAUUCAGACAAACUCCGAAUGCCAAUCAAUUUAACUUGGGAGUCAGAACAUGGGUGAUAAGGUCCGUGUUCGAAAGGGAAACAGCCCAGACCACCAGCUAAGGUCCCAAAAUAUAUGUUAAGUGGAAAAGGAUGUGGCGUUGCCCAGACAACUAGGAUGUUGGCUUAGAAGCAGCCAUCAUUUAAAGAGUGCGUAAUAGCUCACUAGUCGAGUGACACUGCGCCGAAAAUGUACCGGGGCUAAACAUAUUACCGAAGCUGUGGAUUGUCCGUAGGACAAUGGUAGGAGAGCGUUCUAAGGGCGUUGAAGCAUGAUCGCAAGGACAUGUGGAGCGCUUAGAAGUGAGAAUGCCGGUGUGAGUAGCGAAAGACGGGUGAGAAUCCCGUCCACCGAUUGACUAAGGUUUCCAGAGGAAGGCUCGUCCGCUCUGGGUUAGUCGGGUCCUAAGCUGAGGCCGACAGGCGUAGGCGAUGGAUAACAGGUUGAUAUUCCUGUACCACCUAGUAUCGUUUUAAUCGAUGGGGGGACGCAGUAGGAUAGGCGAAGCGUGCUAUUGGAUUGCACGUCCAAGCAGUAAGACUGAGUGUUAGGCAAAUCCGGCACUCAUAAGGUCAAGCUGUGAUGGGGAGAGGAAAUUGUUUCCUCGAGUCGUUGAUUUCACACUGCCAAGAAAAGCCUCUAGAUAGAUAACAGGUGCCCGUACCGCAAACCGACACAGGUAGUCAAGAUGAGAAUUCUAAGGUGAGCGAGCGAACUCUCGUUAAGGAACUCGGCAAAAUGACCCCGUAACUUCGGGAGAAGGGGUGCUCUUUAGGGUUAACGCCCAGAAGAGCCGCAGUGAAUAGGCCCAAGCGACUGUUUAUCAAAAACACAGGUCUCUGCUAAACCGUAAGGUGAUGUAUAGGGGCUGACGCCUGCCCGGUGCUGGAAGGUUAAGAGGAGUAGUUAGCUUCUGCGAAGCUACGAAUCGAAGCCCCAGUAAACGGCGGCCGUAACUAUAACGGUCCUAAGGUAGCGAAAUUCCUUGUCGGGUAAGUUCCGACCCGCACGAAAGGCGUAACGAUUUGGGCACUGUCUCAACGAGAGACUCGGUGAAAUCAUAGUACCUGUGAAGAUGCAGGUUACCCGCGACAGGACGGAAAGACCCCGUGGAGCUUUACUGUAGCCUGAUAUUGAAAUUCGGCACAGCUUGUACAGGAUAGGUAGGAGCCUUUGAAACGUGAGCGCUAGCUUACGUGGAGGCAUUGGUGGGAUACUACCCUAGCUGUGUUGGCUUUCUAACCCGCACCACUUAUCGUGGUGGGAGACAGUGUCAGGUGGGCAGUUUGACUGGGGCGGUCGCCUCCUAAAAGGUAACGGAGGCGCUCAAAGGUUCCCUCAGAAUGGUUGGAAAUCAUUCAUAGAGUGUAAAGGCAUAAGGGAGCUUGACUGCGAGACUUACAAGUCGAGCAGGGUCGAAAGACGGACUUAGUGAUCCGGUGGUUCCGCAUGGAAGGGCCAUCGCUCAACGGAUAAAAGCUACCCCGGGGAUAACAGGCUUAUCUCCCCCAAGAGUUCACAUCGACGGGGAGGUUUGGCACCUCGAUGUCGGCUCAUCGCAUCCUGGGGCUGUAGUCGGUCCCAAGGGUUGGGCUGUUCGCCCAUUAAAGCGGUACGCGAGCUGGGUUCAGAACGUCGUGAGACAGUUCGGUCCCUAUCCGUCGUGGGCGUAGGAAAUUUGAGAGGAGCUGUCCUUAGUACGAGAGGACCGGGAUGGACAUACCUCUGGUGUACCAGUUGUCGUGCCAACGGCAUAGCUGGGUAGCUAUGUAUGGACGGGAUAAGUGCUGAAAGCAUCUAAGCAUGAAGCCCCCCUCAAGAUGAGAUUUCCCAACUUCGGUUAUAAGAUCCCUCAAAGAUGAUGAGGUUAAUAGGUUCGAGGUGGAAGCGUGGUGACACGUGGAGCUGACGAAUACUAAUCGAUCGAAGACUUAAUCAA